UCUCGUCACCCGCUUCGUCUAUCCCGGCGGCGGCGCCCCCCCCCGCGGGCCCUGACCAUCUCCUGUACGCCUUAUGCGCCGUCCGCGUCUCAACCUCCCAGUUCGCCGGCGCCCCCUCUCCACCGUGCCCUCGCUGCACGUGAGCAGGCUGCCAACCCCGGAUCCAGUGUCAUCCGGGUUUCCUCAUCGACGGUGAGAUCGGCUUGGUCUUCCUCGCGGUGGAGACGUUGCGGCAGCAACGUCGGCCACGCCUUGGGUCGUGAGCGGCUCGAUAUUAGUCUCACCAAAUACUGGUGCUUUGCAGCCCACUAAUGGAUCAACGACUAAUCUCCCGAGGUACUUAAUACUACUCACAUCAGGAGGCACAUUUAGAAUUUGAAGUGCAGUUGUUGGCUUAUUCCCUGUUUUUUUCUUGCCGCUUGAGCAAAUCAAGAGAUGUCUGCAGUCUACACACAUACUCCCUCCAUUCCAAAAUAAGUGUAGUGGUUUUAGUUCAAAACGGAGGGAGUACAAUUUUUUUAGCACAAAUUGGCAUCUCAUAGUUAGUCCAUCUCUUUCACCCAUGCCUCCGUUACAUGGAGAAACACUUUUAUCAAGUCACCCGCCAUUUUAAUUAGCAUAUGUAUGUAUAACUGUGGAUACCUGAUACUCUAAAUGCCCAUUUGGCCAGGUUGAUUUGCAAGGCUUGUGUGGACUGAACCUGUUCCUCUAAACCAAGGGGUCCUUCUGGCCCUUUUCCUGCAUCUGGCAUGCGACAUAGCAAAUGAGACAUCCUUGAAGCUUCAAUUGAUACAAAGGUUUCACACAUAGUAUUUGGUUAAUAUCUCCAUUGUUGUAUGUUCAAUUGACUGGUGCUCAUUGCUUCUGCUGUCCUAUCAAAUAGUUUGGAUCAUUUAUCAUUUUUGGAAAUUAUAGUAGUUGUAUAUCCAACAUCUAUCUGAUAAGAUACGUAUGAACAAUUGAGUAAUUUCAUGUAACUUGGUGUGGUACUUAUUUGUAUAUGCUGUUUCCGGCUGAUGCUUUAGCUGUUCGUAAUUUUUCUACUAAUUUCUUGAUAAUUCCCUCGCUUUAGUUGAUUGUAUUUUUUAUACAAUUUCUUUAUAAUUCCGACAAUUGAAAGUUGGUCAUUGCCAGGUUCAUUACAGUUUUAGAAAAAUAAUGUUAUGACUGGAUGCUACUAGCUUCAACCAUUUUACUUAAAUUGAUCUUCUAGAUGAACUUCUGCAGAACCAUGUCUGUUUAUAGCCAAGAUGGUCCAAUACUCUAUGCUUAUCAUAGUUGCUUCCUAACGCAUUUCCCUUCCAUUUACAGGCAUACCAAUUCCAGAAGAUGUGCACAAGGAAGUUAAUGUAACAAGCAUCUUGAAACUAACUUGUGGUGGCACUUGCUACAAAGGUAUCAAACAUAUUUUCUUUGGGUCAGAUUACUGUUUCCAGACUUGUUCAUGGUUAUAUAUUAUUUAUUAUUCAUGUAUUUAAAUUCCUUGAAUUUUUUAUUUUGUGCAGCAGUGUAUACAAGAAAGGAAGAUGUUUGAUCAUAUUAUCUGCUACAGAUCUGCAUCUGUAGAUUAAGUCAAUGUUGUGGAGCACUUGAUUAUGUGAGGUUGGUAACUCCCUCAAUGUGUUCAAUCUUUACAAAAUUAUGAAUGUGUUCAAUCUGCACAAAAUUAUGGUCUGUAAUGAUUUGAGCAUGUCCUUGACUUUUUGAGACAUUGACCUUAAUUGAAGGUACCAUGGUCUUUUCGGGAUCUUUGAAUCUUGGAGAAAUGCCAUGUUGACCAUUGCGAGGUGCUGCCUAUUUUUAUUAUUU
rnacentral:lncRNA from 1 species